CAGGCAUGUGCCGGUAAAUGUUAGUUGCCUGCUCUGGGAAACCAUGCUGUGAGGCAGCCCAAGGUAGAGACCACACGGAGAAGAUGCCAGGUGGAAUAUUCCAGUGGACAGCCCCCAGUGAGGUGUCAGCCAACAGCCAUUUCCAGGCAUGUAGGUAAAACAACUUCAGAUGAUUCCAGGCUUUGACAAGCCAGCCCUACUAUAGCCUGUUCAAAUUCCCAA
rnacentral:lncRNA from 10 species